ACACAGCCUCAGUGCAGAAACAGGAGCAUCUUGUUCCAAGUAGGAUUGACACUGGUGAGCUCGAUGGGGCAUCCAUUGUGUCCUCCGCCCCAGAGUGAGGGCUGCCCAGGCGACAGGUCUCGGAUCCCCGAAACGGAUUCCCAGAGAUGUGCUCGGGGAGAUACACAUCUCGAUCUGCAGUCUCAUUUGGAAUUACAGGUUACACGGUCUCAGGGCCCCGGUCAGUCAGGACGGGUCUGCGAGGUCGCAGGGGCUUAAAACAACAAAGGGAGCUCAUUGGUCGGAAGCGGUCACGUGGGGGCGGGGGGACCCCGGAAGUGCUUUCCCGCCAGCAGCUGAGAGGUGGAGAGCCACAGCCACGUGGCGAACCACACUCAUGACAUCAAGCCAGGUGGCACCGGCGUUCAAGGCCUCCUCCAGCGACCAAGGUGUCCUCCCUAGAGCACGCCCCGACACCACCUGUGCCCCCCUCCCAGGACUAAGCGCAGGGACUGACUGAGUGCUGGCCCAGCGCUCGGUGUUCGUUAAAUUAAUAAAUCAGGCCAUGUAGGGGCUCCUGGGGGGCUCGGUCGGUGAGGCGUCCGACUUCGGCUCAGGCCACGAUCUCGCAGUUCGUGGG